rnacentral:rRNA from 1 species
AGAGUUGAUCAUGGCUCAGGAUGAACGCUAGCGGCAGGCUUAACACAUGCAAGUCGAGGGGCAACGCGAGUAGCAAUACUUGGCGGCGACCGGCGCAAGGGUGCGUAACGCGUGAGCAACAUGCCCGUAUCAGGGGGAUAAUCCAGGGAAACUUGGUCUAAUACCCCAUAGUAAUUUUGUAAGGCAUCUUAUAAGAUUUAAAGCUUUGGUGGAUACGGAUUGGCUCGCGUGACAUUAGCUGGAUGGUAAGGUAACGGCUUACCAUGGCUAUGAUGUCUAGGGGUUCUGAGAGGAAGGUCCCCCACACUGGAACUGAGACACGGUCCAGACUCCUACGGGAGGCAGCAGUGAGGAAUAUUGGACAAUGGAUGGAAAUCUGAUCCAGCCAUGCCGCGUGAAGGAAGAAGGUCCUAUGGAUUGUAAACUUCUUUUGUAUGGGAGCAAUAAGGCCUACGUGUAGGUUGAUGAGAGUACCAUACGAAUAAGCACCGGCUAACUCCGUGCCAGCCGCCGC